ACCCCUUAUUUUUAUAUAUUAUUAUUGGGCUUCGUGUAGGUAUCCUCAAUUCGCGGAAAUUCGACAGUUGUCCGGAUCUGUGAAUUUCCGGCCAGACAGACCAGCUACCGGAAAAGUCUCCGAAUUGGAUCGAGAAUUUUGGCUACCCCACCAUUGUUAGGCAUCCCGAGCACGUUCCCGAAGUCGGAAUCGGCAAAGGUGAGCCGGGACAGCCUUCUUCCUCCGUCCAGCCGCCUCAGUGACCAUCGUCAAGUCUGCCACAGGAGGAUAUUUUUUGAGGUUAACCUGCUUUCUCCCUCGCAGGUCAAUUAUUACUGUUUGUAUAAACUUGUUAAAUCUUAGAAUUUCCGCAUGUGUUAGAAAUGUUUAUUUGAUUUGGGUCUGUAAACUAAAUUAUUAUUUUGGGACCUGUAAACUUAAUAUGCUAUGCAUGUUUGAUGGAUUGGAUGAGGGAGCUGAGCUCCCAUUUAUUAUUAA